AGAGAGAGACAUGCGCGCAUAUCAAUAAGCGGAGGAAAAGAAACUAACUAGGAUUCCCUCAGUAACGGCGAGUGAAGCGGGAAGAGCUCAAAUUUGAAAUCUUCAAGGUUCUACCUUGACGAAUUGUAGUUUAAAGAAGUGUUUUCUGUUGGAGUUUUGGUAAAAGUUCUUUGGAAUAGGACAUCAUAGAGGGUGAGAAUCCCGUAUUUGACCAUUAUUUCCAGCUUUGUGAUACACUUUCAAAGAGUCGGAUUGUUUGGGAAUGCAGUCCAAAAUGGGUGGUAAAUUUCAUCUAAAGCUAAAUAUCGGCGAGAGACCGAUAGCGAACAAGUACCGUGAGGGAAAGAUGAAAAGAACUUUGAAAAGAGAGUUAAACAGUACGUGAAAUUGUCAAAAGGGAAGCGUUUGACACCAGUGUUGUUUUCUCGAAAAUCAAUUAAAAAGAGUUAGAUUUUGUUGUGUAUUGACCUUAACAGCUUGCAUUUCAAUUUUCUUGCUUUUUUUAAUGCACUUUUCGUUUAACAAGUCAACAUCAGUUUCUUUUGUUGUAAAAAGGUCAUUGGAAGGUGGCUUUCUUUUUGGAGAAAGUGUUUAUAGCCUUUGGCCUCUGCAAUCGGAGAGAUUGAGGUCUGCAGCGUAGAUCCUUCGGGGUUAGAUACAUUCGUGCUAAGUUAUAGCCUUUCAUAGACAACUUGUUGACUAUGAUCAGUCAUGUAGCUUACUCGCUUAUGCUAUUUUACCUACGCUUAGGAUGUUGAUGUGAUACUGCGAGCA
rnacentral:rRNA from 1 species